rnacentral:lncRNA from 1 species
UGCUAUUUGGAGUUUCUUCUUUUUCUUCUUCACCGAUCUAGGAUGGGUUCCAGGCUGGCAUCUUGGGAUAGUAAGGAUGGACGUCGUCCUUUUAUCGUUUGAUUUCGUCCGUAGUCGGACUGAGCUCUUCUACAUGGUGAUUGAAUAUAUUGUUGAAUUGUGUUGUUCAUGCUAUAGCUUGUGGCGAGUGUAAGCCAAUUCCAUAUACUCGUCUCUUCUGUACAUGUACUUGUAAAGAUAUCCAUUC